rnacentral:piRNA from 1 species
UGUGUACUCAGUUGCUUAGUAUUUCUUAGC